rnacentral:rRNA from 1 species
AUACGGAGGAUCCGAGCGUUAUCCGGAUUUAUUGGGUUUAAAGGGUGCGCAGGCGGGAGAUUAAGUCGGCGGGGAAAUUUUGCAGCUCAACUGUAAAAGUGCCUUCGAAACUGGUUUCCUUGAGUGUAGAUGGAGUAGGCGGAAUUUGUGGUGUAGCGGUGAAAUGCAUAGAUAUCACGAGGAACUCCGAUUGCGCAGGCAGCUUACUAAACUACUACUGACGCUCAGGCACGAAGGCGUGGGGAUCAAACAGGAUUAGAUACCCUGGUAGUCCACGCAGUAAACGAUGAUUACUAGCUGUUUGCGAUACAAUGUAAGCGGCUGAGCGAAAGCGUUUAGUAAUCCACCUGGGGAGUACGUUCGCAAGAAUGAAACUCAAAUGAAUUGACGGGG